rnacentral:ncRNA from 1 species
CCUACCAAGGCGACGACGGGUAGCCGGCCUGAGAGGGUGACCGGCCACACUGGGACUGAGACACGGCCCAGACUCCUACGGGAGGCAGCAGUGGGGGAAUAUUGCACAAUGGGCGCAAGCCUGAUGCAGCGACGCCGCGUGAGGGAUGACGGCCUUCGGGUUGUAAACCUCUUUCAGUAGGGAAGAAGCCUCUCGGGGUGACGGUACCUGCAGAAGAAGCGCCGGCUAACUACGUGCCAGCAGCCGCGGUAAUACGUAGGGCGCAAGCGUCCGGAAUUAUUGGGCGUAAAGAGCUCGUAGGCGGUCUGUCGCGUCUGCUGUGAAAAACGCGGGGGGCUCAACCCCCGCGGCCUGCAGUGGGGUACGGGCAGACUAGAGUGCGGUAGGGGGAGACUGGAAUUCCUGGUGUAGCGGUGGAAUGCGCAGAUAUCAGGAGGAACACCGGUGGCGAAGGCGGGUCUCUGGGCCGUUACUGACGCUGAGGAGCGAAAGCAUGGGGGAGCGAACAGGAUUAGAUACCCUGGU